CAAGUUUUCAAAAUGAGGUAUGUUCAACCUCAGAUAAACAAAACAUGACAUAUAUACUGUAUCAUUACUGAUUUAACAGAAAAAAAAAAAAAAAUCCAAAAUAUAAAAACAAUCAUAUAGAAAACGAACAAAAACGUACAUUUGAUUAUGCCGCUUGUAGAACCACUUGUCAGUGGUUUCCUUGUAUGACCAUCAGUCUCUUAAAAUGUGGAGGAAUUUCACCCCAUCCUCUGUAUAAGGUUACUUCAGUUCACUGAAGUUUGCAGUGCUAGACCGUUUGUUUCUGUCUGAACAGCACACUGUUUUGGCAACUGUGUUAACACUGGAUGUAACGGUAGUUCAGUUGUACAGGUGCCCAGCUGUGAGUGGUGUGCGGAUGUACGGCUCCUGAAUGACUGGUUCCAGCUGUUGGAAGACCACCCCUGAGAGGGCCUAGGCCUGGAGAGCUGCCAGUGACAGAGCUUCACUUCCUUUACCUAAAGCCUUAUCAGCUGCUCCUGUGACAGUCGCUGGCUGAGGUUCUCUGUAGUGAGGAAGGGGAGUGGGUAGAGGUAAGCUUCCGAUUCCUUAAACCCAUAGUUUUCUCCUGUUUUUGGAUAGGACAAGGAGGUCAGACUGUCUUUGUUUUGGUACUUUUUCUGAGGUUAUGGGCAUUGGAGCUUAGCUUUGUUUUCUUCAUUAUUUUGGCCUCAGCUCACCCCAAAGUGUUGGCACUCCUGUCUUGUUGCUUUCCCCACUACUUUGUAAAUAAACGCCAUGUAAUGUCAAGUGAUUGUCAUUACAUCACAAUCGCGUGUCGCUUCUUGGGUCUGGGGGAAACCAAGUGCUGCAUUGAUACUAUUGUGGUGGCGUGCAGGAGGAAACCUGGUAAAGGUAACUACAUGGUGUUGACAACACCACCUGGAGAGGGAGUUACACCCCAGGAGAGAUUACAAUUUCCAGUGCAAACGUUGUAACAGUUACAAAAGGCACACAGGCUCAUUAUUAACAAGCAGAGGAAUGGCAAAUACAUUUCAUAGAACAAAGUUCAGACAACUACCAAUAAUUAGCUGCAGAAAAGAAAACAGCAACUUAAGCAGGGCUGGCAAUACUGAACCAUUAAUUAAGACACUUGAUUAGCAAACAUUACUAAAAAGAACAAGGUUUGCUGCCACGAUGCUGCCCUGGUUACAAUAGCAGCUCAAUAAAAUAGUUAAUCAAAAUGGUGGAGAUCGGCACUUGGGGAGGCAACCUACAGAGAGGAGUGCCCAAGGGUGCCACCAAUUACUCACCAGUGUAGUCUCUCUGCAAUCCUCACUGCAACUUAAAUGGUGCGUUAUACUUGUUUCCCAGGGCGGGGGAAUUCCACCACAGAUGGCUAGUCCCCACAACAAGCAACUGUAUCUCCACUAAAGAAAAAUAAAACUUAUAAAACUUAUAAAUUAACACACACACCCUUUAAAAUACAACUGCUAUUAAAAGCACGAUUAAAAUAUAACAAACAGUUAACACUAAAACAGGGGAAAUGAAUGUAAUCUGCAAUACUUAAAAACAGCCUGUGAUCUUCACCACCUUCAACAGGAACGAAUGCAAGGAGCAGGCUAUAGCUGCUCCUUAUAACCCGGCUCUGAUUAACAGCAAGGGAUGGGUGAAUGUUCAUGCUGCAUUCAAAGACACCAUGCAAAAACCAUCUACCAAAUCUAACCCACUACACUAUGACCUGGCCCAUAGACGGGUUGUGUGGCAUUAAUUUCAUUUGGGUUGAUGACUGGACCAUGACAAUGGUUCUUUUCUUUUUCAGCCAUUCUGCUGUAGAUGUAGCUGUUGGUGUUUUUGCAGUUUAUCUGAGCACUUGACAGUCUCGUGUGUGUUUUAGAAAAUCCACUACUUUGAAAGCUGGCAACUGUCCUGAAUUUUUUCCAUUGUGGAAUGAUGACCUUAUAACCCUUUUCUGAUUGAUGGGCAACAGCGAUCAGUUUGCAUCUGAUUUAUUUUUCUAUAUUAUAUCCUAGCACAUAAAACCUUAGAAGUAACAAAGGGUGUGCUUUCUUUUUUAAGGUGACUGUAUAUCCCACAUACUUUUUGAGAGAUGACUUUUUAUAACAAGCUUAGACGAGGCAAAGUGUCAAUACUGCAGGACUGCAGGAAAAAAGGCAUGGUAAAUCUCACCUACUUUAUGCGACGUUAUCUAUGGUCUGUUGCUGUGGUAUUGGUAAAAGUAGAACAGUGCAAUACAGGGUGGGAAAAAAAUACUUUACUGUGAACAGAUGUCAGGGUGCACUCUCACAGAAUCGUCUCCGACUUCAAAGACUGAACCAGCCAACCAAAAGAAGAAGAAAAGGCACUCACGUGGCCACACACCAUGAUCGAUUUCCUGUUUGCACACCAUUUCUGUGGCAUUGUGUAAGCAUCUAGGCAAGGUCUUAAUAGUAUGCAUGCAUGUCCACUGUGCAGACAUACAUGCAAAGAAGCUGUACGCUAUAAUUAAGAUGAUUAUUAGAUAUCAAAUUUUCCUUAUGUGACAUUAAAGCUGGUAAAGUUGUUGCGCAGAGAUAAGGAUUAAACAGCAUAUGACUCAAUGCUGGCAUGGAAGACUUUUCAAGAUAUUGGGGAAUCAACAGGACCCUUUUUCUAAUAUGUUGCAUCGUGUGUAUGUUUUUACAAGCAGAAGGGAACAGCACUUCCUUGAUGGCUGGGAGCACAGUGACCCUGCACUGUAGCAAUAACUCAAUCAGCGACCUCCAACAACUGACAUGGAAAAGGAAUGGGACUCUUCUGUUUAGUUUCAAGGCACAGAAAACCUCAAACAACAGCUCUGUGACUUUAAGCAGUAAUCAGAACAUGUCAGACAGCAGAAUAAUAAGGUCUCAUGCAGCUGCCAUCCUGAAUCUAAGCAUGUCCACCUUAAAAAGCCAACUGUAUGCACUAAUCAUAGAGAGAGCUCAGAAACAUCACGAAGGAAACUACACUUGUGAAACGACCACAGACUCAGGAGUCUUCGAACAGAAAUGGGAGCUCAUAAUUACAGAGAACGCUGAAGCUGAAGGUCCAUUUAAAAUCCAUAUUGCUGCAGCAGUUGUUGUCCCUUCGCUAUGUUUCCUGAUCUUUAUAUUAACUGCUGUGAUCAUUCUCAGAGGAGUCUGCAAACGACGUUCGCAAAGAAUCACCCAGGCUCCUAGAAGACUGCAGGAGCAGAGACAACCCACUUAUGAAAACCUGGAUUUUGAAGGUCGCCAACAAUGUGGACAAAUUCAGGUUCACCCCUAUAAAUACAGGGCUGAGUGAUAUGAAUCGCACAGUAACAUAAGGCCUAACUCUUUUAAAUGAUCAACCACUUUAAACGGCUUUCUCUGUGAAUGUAUUGUAGUGAAGAGCACAGUCUGUACUUGAAGCUGCAUUAUUUAUUUUUUUCUGGCUGAACUGAAGACCAGUCAGAAUGUGACCUCAUCGAUUUGUAGUCAUAAGUUAACAGCUGACAGUAGAUACCUGUCAGUUUUGUACAGGGUGUUUAAUUACUGACGAAAAUAGAUUGCUUGGAGCUCUUAAAUGCACUGUUACUCACACACUGGCUAAUGUUGUUGUUUUAAAUGAAUUCAGAACACACCCUCAUGUUAUCUUAGGCUGCUCUGCUUAGUAAUCUCAAGACUUUACAGCGUUACAGAGAGAACAAGUGCCCAUUCAGUAUGAGUUUAGUGCUGCAGUUUAUCUCUAGUGCAAAAGUAAAACUUGACACAUUUAAACAUGAUAGGGUAGUUGAGGCACUGAUUGGGAUGCUGUCUCACAGUUUAAUGUAGAGAGAAGCAGAUCAAAGUGAAAUUUAUUUAAUUAAUAAAUUAAAUUAACUUUCUAUGCUUUAAUUCUGCAGUUUUUUCCCUCAUCACCAGGUAAAUGCACAAUGCAAUUUCAAAUACAUUUUUUAUGCUGUUGCAACCUCACAGAAGAUCUCCUUUCUGUGCUUUUAAUAAGAUCCGUCUCAAUCCACUGCAUAUAUAAAAAGUAUUAUUUCAUCACAUAUUAUAUCACUUUUAAAGCACACAGUAGCAACAACCCCAUUUCUAAAAAGUUGGGACACUGUGUAAAAUAAAAACAGAAUGCAAGUUUUACCAAAUCUAAUAAACUCAUUUUUUAUUUCUAUCAAACAUAUAAAUCAAAUAUCGAAUGUUUAAACUGAGACAUUUUACUCUUUCAUGAAAAAUAUGAGCUCAUUUUCAAUUUAAUGGCUGCAGCCUGUGUCAAGAAAUCUGGGACAGGGGCAACAAAAGACUACAAGUAAUUAGGUUAAUUGUUAACAGGCCAGUAAAACCAAUCUUUGAAAAAUACGAUGGACUGCUUUCAGAACUGCACAUGAUUAUUUUCAGCUAGCAGGUUGUUAAUGCUAUCCAUCGAGUCUAACAAUCUGCAGUCUAUGAACUAACCUCAGCUAAUGCCAGCUAACAAUGUUAGCUUGGUGGCGAGUGGCCUUUAGUAAUAGUAAUAAAUCACACAGCAAUAGUACAUCGAAGAUACUGAAGUGGCGCAUAACCCAGGUAGCUACCACAACUAAAACAAGGUAGUUGCAGUAGGCUAACAUUAGUUUUUAAAAAAGAACUCACUUCCAGAUGUUUCUUUAAGUUGGAGGUGGAGUCUUUUUACGCUGAGAGCAACUUGGUUUCUGGCAAACAUAGUUUGCAAUGCAUGGUCAGAUUUUGCCCAUCCUUUUCUUCUUUAAAUGUUAAGUGGUGUCGGAAUUUCCAAGUAAGAAAUGCGUUCCUGCCCGUGCACUUCUGGCUCUGUUGUGCUGGCUCUGGGUCCAUUGUGUAACUGAUGCCACCAACAUUAACAGGAGACUUACAUUAAAGCCUCUUAUUUCGCGUUUUGUUUGGGUUUCCAGCAAUGUGUGGAAUUACCAGAAUUAGAGAGGGGAUAGAGAGGGGAUAACCCAACAUAUGAAACAGGAAAAGGCCGCCAUGUAAUCCAUUUAUUUCAAAAAAGUAACUGUAUUCUAAUAAACCCCCUUUAAACAGUAACUGUAACUGAAUACAGUUACUCAUAUUUUGUAUUUUAAAUACGUAACACUGGCACAUGUAUUCCGUUACUCCCCAACACUGCCCUGGACUGUAAAUUAACUCCUAUAUGAGACUUAAAUGGACAACAUUCCUCUUCCAAAAGUCCAGCAACUGGUAUUUUCAGUUUCUAGAUGUUAACACACUGUUCAUAAAAGAAGUGGGGAGGUACACCGUUCUAAACGUGGCCCUGAAACAUGCUGGAACCACAAAUUCAAAUUCAUUUCUUAAAAUGGCACAGUUUACAAGUUUACACGUUUGAUAAACAUUUUCUAAGUAAAUAGAAUAUACAUUUACAUUUGUGAGAUUUGCAAAUCAUUGCAUUUUGUUUCUAUUUACAUUUUGCACAGGAUCCCAACUUUUUUGCAACUGGGGUUAUAGAAGUGACACUUUGAGGCAGUUUUACCCCAAAACUGCGCAUCACCUGCUCCAGAUCAGACUAUGUUUGCAGGAUGAGUUACCAUGGUGAUCUAGCCAGGUUAAAGGAAAGACAAGUUUGUGACACUGCAGACUCUGACUUUAAGCUUUACACAGCUCACUAAAGCAUUAAUCCCACUUUGUACUAUACUCCUUUUGACUGCAUUCUAAAGAGAGUCAAAAAGAUGGUACAGAAGUCCCAUUUAGACUCUGCGUGACUCAGUGGAACAUAUCUCACCUACUUCCCUUGUCUGUGGUCUCUGGUGUGAAGUGGCGUAGAUGCAUAAAAAAAACAACAAAAAAACAACCACAACUCACAAAAGUGUCCUAUUUAGAUCAACAAACGGUUUAACUCCAGACACUGAUGUAGGAGGUAAUUUCCUGAGAAAUUAUUUUUUCCAUCUAAAUAAAAUCUAAAAGAGCAAACAGUGCACUGCUAUUGCACAUAACCUAUUCAGUUCAUCAGCUGGCAAAGUGCAUAAACAGAAAGCUUAAAGGUCAUGAAAGAGAAGUACAGUGCUUAAAAAAAUUAUUCAAAAGCAGUAUACAUGAGCCAAGUUUAAACUCCCGGAGGUUGGAGCUGCCCACACUGGCAGUCCACACCUCUAAUUUGAAAAGGGCCUUAAUAAAAAUAAGAACGGAUAAGUCAGAAAGAAGAAAAAACAUCUCCCUCAUCCAUAUUAGGUUAACUGGAGACUAAAAGUUGCCCAAAGGUGUGAGUGUGAAUGGCUUUCUGUCUCUAUGUGCUGACUCUGCAGUAGACAUUCUUGAACCCCUCCCCCCACAGCUCAGCCUGAUUUGGAUAAGGGGUUAACAAGUUGCUCCAGUGUUUUGUUUUGUUUUUCUGAAUAGAUAUCAUUUAAUGUGUAGCACCUAUGCUUGUAGAGACUACAUUGAUCAGGUGUAACAUUAUGACUACCUGCCUAUAUUACGUUUGCCCGUUUUUCAGCUGCAGUGCACUGUGUAUUCUGACACUUUUCCAUGAGUACCAAUAUUACCUUUUUUGGCAAUUUGAGCUACAGUAGCUCAUCUGUUGGACCAGACCACAAGCACCAGCCUUUGGCCUUUAAUGACCCUGUGACUGGUUCACCACUGUUCCUUCCUUAGUCCACUUUUGAUAGAUACUGACCAUUGACUGGGAACAAAGGCUGGGAGCAGGGGUUUCGAGGUGCUCUGAUCCAGUCGCCUAGUUUGCCCUUGUGACACUUGCUCAGAGCCUUACGCUUGCCCUUUUUUCCUGCUUUGAACACAUGUAAUUUGAAGACAAAAUGUUCACUUGCUCCCUAAUAUAUCCCACCCAGUAAGAGGUGCCAUGCUGAAGAGAUAAUCAGUGUUAUUUCCUCACCUGUUAGUGGUCAUAAUGUUAUACCAGAUCGGUGUAGGUACAUUACAAUCAAAACCAUAACUUUUGAAAAAUGUGAAUGACUUUAUUUUGUACAGGUUACCUCUUUUGCAAGCACAACUGUGUAUAUAGAAAAAUGGAAUGUGAGUGUUGUGUGUAUAAAACAACGAAAUAAAAGAAAAUAACAAAAAAAAAAAGAAAAUUCAUUUAAAAUCAUAAUAACACAAGGGGGAAAAGUCACUUACUCAGUGCCUUUGGCCUCUGCUGUGCCUCUGACUCAGUCCUCAUGCCAGAACCAAUCAAUGUCGAGUUCCUGUAGAGUCUUUGCCAAGUAAAAGCGCCCAAGAAUGUCACCAUUGAUUUGUGACAAUUUUUCUGGUCUUGUUUUCAAGGGAAAAAAAUGAUAAUAAUGAGGCCCAGACACAGAGCGUAUGAAACAUGGAAACAAAUUAAACCUAUUUUGUAACCCUUAAUAUAGACAAUUGUGUAUGGUAUGCUCAUUGUGAU
ensembl:lncRNA